CUACUAGUGUUUGGAAAUUAUAAUUACUAGAACUCUUAUUUCUCACCCUUUUAAUUGCUGGCUAAUUCUUGUAAAAAGUAGUGGUUAAUCUUGCUAAUUACUUUGAUGUGAUGCCUAGGUGUUCAGUCCAGCUCCUGCAACCAACACAGGCCGUUGCCCCUUUUGCCACAACGGCACCAGCACAAACACGAGCGUGGUCAUCCUCAACCAGUUCCUCACGCGGCCUCCGCGCAAGCCCUGCUCGUGUAUGCUUACACCAAAAGUACAACUCUUGCUACUCUCCUUGUACUUGCACUUGCUUAUUUUCUAAGCAAUAAUCCUAUUGCUUCCUCUUGGGGAAAGGGAUCCCAUGUUGAAGCUGUCUUGGUGCUCACCCACUGUUUAUAUUCAUCACCAUAGUGUACGAAACAUAUGAAAACCAUUCUGGCUUCGGAGAAAUAUAACCAGUACAUGUGCAAUUGCGCGAGAAGUUCCCUUAUGAAAGUUCCAUGUAAACAAACCACAUGAAAGUUCAUCGAGAGAAACUUUGUAAGUUCAAAAUGGCUAUAGGAAAACUUUGUAGGUUCAGAUGGGUAUAGAAAACUUUGUAAGUUCAAAAUGGGCAUGCCUAACAGUGGAUGAAUAAAAAAACUAAACCCAACAAAGUCCAUGUUGGUCGGUGUACAGUGUGUUGUCAAGAAGGUUGUUGGCCUUGGAGGCCGACACUGGCUGAUCAUCUACCUUCCAAUUAUUAUUAGGCAUAUACCACUAAAACUGCAGGUCGCGCCCUCCUCCUGCUGUAGGUCGCGCCCUCCUCUCGCAUAGCCUAUUGGUUGGCGUACCGUGACCCCUUCUCAUAUUUUUGUUCGAUGUUUUGAGAUAGCUCAGAUUACUUCCAACUGUGAAGAUUGACAUGCAUAUUUGGGGAUGAGAUUUUCAGCUGACCAGAACUGUUAACGAACCAAAGCAAUCAGGAAUAGUUAGUCAUGGGGGAUCGUUACCUGGACAAACAAGUUCAGAAUUUUGGAGAACCUUUCUUUAUGGUUAUUCGCGAGGAUGAGACCUUAUCUUCUAUUAAAGAACGUUUACAGAAAAAGCUUAAGGUCUCAGAUGAGGAUUUCUCAAAGCAGUUCAACAGGGGCGCAGGGUUCAGUUCGACGGUGACGAGCCAGGCAGCCGGCCUUCGCAUAACGAACUGGUGCAGUUCGAUCUUGUGCAAAUCGGAAAUCCCCUGAUGCUGAGUGUGUCAGUACAACCCUACGCUUUAAGGCACACAUGCAUCCACUCCACGUGUUAGUCAAUGUCAUCAGGGAAGAAGACCUCGACCUAUGGCAAAGAUGUCCGCACAUGCCACACGCUACCAGAUUCGCCGCCCACAGCUACAACCCUUCGACCGGCAAGGCUGCCAUUCCCCCCGCACCUGACGCCGCCUGGGCCCUCCGGACAACGAGACCAUCGCCGCCCCAUGCUCAAUCUAGAGUUCUUGUGUGUUUGCAUGUUAGGUGCUCGUACAAAUGCCCCUGAGGAUGUUUUUUCCUCAAAAAUGUUACUUGUGUUUCUAAAUUUGACAUGAUGCCAGUGGCUAAACCUGACGCACUUGCAUAGUAGCUACAUCUAGCUACUUGCUCUCCAUUAUAUCCCCCUCUUUGCAGAAAAAUCGUCCGUUCAAGUUUCAA